rnacentral:rRNA from 1 species
UACGAAGGGGGCUAGCGUUGCUCGGAAUCACUGGGCGUAAAGCGCACGUAGGCGGAUUGUUAAGUCAGGGGUGAAAUCCUGGAGCUCAACUCCAGAACUGCCUUUGAUACUGGCGAUCUCGAGUCCGGGAGAGGUGAGUGGAACUGCGAGUGUAGAGGUGAAAUUCGUAGAUAUUCGCAAGAACACCCGUGGCGAAGGCGGCUUUCUGGAACGCAACUGACGCUGAGACGCGAAAGCGUGGGGAGCAAACAGG